rnacentral:lncRNA from 1 species
AAGUAUGAUUAUGGGGAAAAUCCACACUAUCGUAGUUUUGCUUCAUUGAACAUGGUUUUAUAAAAAUCCUUACAAGGAUACCUUUUCAAUGAUGUAAAAUAUACUUUCAGUUGGCAAUCUUCCCCCAGGCUACCUCCUAUACUGAGACAAAAAUCAAAACCACUGUAAUAGUGUUCACUCAGAAUUCGUGGAUUUUUAUCAAAUGGAAGUGAAAUGGUUUCAGAAUUAAAAUUACACAAAACCAACAAUAACAUGAUGUAUUUGAUGUUAAGUAUCAUUCAGUGAAAACAUCCUAGGGUGUUGCCCAAGGUACAGACAUCUUGCUAUUCUUCUCUCUUUCUCUCUUUUUUUUUUUUUUUUGCUUUUUAGGGCCUCACCUGUGGCAUUUGGAGAUUCCCAGUCUAGGGGUCAAAUCAGAGCUGUAGCUGCUGGCCUACACCACAGCCACAGCAAUGCUAGAUCUGAGCCGCAUCUGCAACCUAUACCAUAGCUCAUGGCAGCACUGGAUCCUUAACCCACUGAGCAAGGCCAGGGAUCUAACCUGCAAUCUCAUGGUUCCUAGUUGGAUUCAUUUCCGCUGCUCCAUGACAGGAACUCCAUCACUACUCUUCUUUUACCUGCAUAAGCUCAAAUGUGAAAAGUAGUUUAGGAACAUGGGAAUUAUCUAAAUCCAGGAGACAAAAUCUUCUUUCCACUAUUUUAGAAAACAGUAGUUUAAAUUGAUAUUUUUAGAGAACAGCUUGGCUGGCUUCCAGUUUGGGCAGAACACUUAAUUUGAAAAAUUUCUACCACUCCCUGGAAUGCUAAUUGUCUUUUCAACUCCUAAGAAAUCAGAGGAUAAUGUAAAAUUAUCUUCCAUUUACUUGGAUCCAAACUUGAUAAUAUUGUAAAGAGGUGAUAUGUCAGAAAAUUCUUAAUCUUAUCUUUUCUCCUUUUGUAUUGAUGUUAAUCUCUAGAUUUCUAAAUCAGUUUAUUUUAGUCUACUAUAUGUUUUCCAAAAAUCAUCUCAUGCUGAACCCCCAUCGUAAAGAAAGCAUUUCUCUAGUUUCUGUACAAUAAUGUUAACUUGCUAAAAUCUAUGUGUUUCUGAAAAGGACACUGUCAUUCUUUCAUCAUCUCCGUAGUGGAUGUUUCAUACAGAAAGCUAGAAUGGUUUGAAAUCUCAUAUAAAGUUUAUUAUUUAUAUGGAGAUGGAGACUGGGUGGAUGUUAUACAUAGAAUGUCAUCUGCUGGCAGCAUGAUUCAUUGGCAUUUAGCAGCUGCUACAUAUAAAAUUUAAAUCAAAAGCCAGAUGUUGAUUUCCUAUCAGCGUUAACUAUUUUGACAUGCUGUAAGUGGCAUGAGGAAUAUUAUGAUUUGUCAGACUUAAUAUUUUAAAGACUUUGGGGUUAUAGCGUGAUAGCUUGAUCUUGAAUUUUAUUUUUUGUUUGUUUGUUUUCCUUCAGAAAAAUAUCUCAAGUUGACAUGAAACCAUAAUAAUUUAAUAAUACUAAUUCAAGUAUUUCAGGUAAAUCAACAUAUAUUUACCUGAAAUAUAUUACAUAUAUUUACAAAUAGGAAACUAUUGCACAUGAUGCUUGAAGUAUUAUUCUUAACUGUUAUAUUGCAUGCCAUCUAUUUGAUAAGUAAUAUACUUAAAUCAGAAUUUGCUUGCAACAUACAUUAUUAUUUACAUCUCAGGGACUACUAAUCCUUUAAAUAUAGUUGAUAGAAAGGGGUCAAGAAGUAGAGGAAUCAGUUAUUCAGAAAAUAUAUUUCUUUAUGUAAAGUAUUUCACUCCACAGAAAAGUGAUUGGCACAUUAUGGUAAUCACCAAUAAAUAAUUGACAGAUUAUGGAUCCGUGAUUAUACCACUAUUAUAAAUAAUGCAGCUUUCUAUAAGACUGACCUACAUUUACCCUCAGCACAGACUGAAUUCAUUAUAUAGAAACCCACAACAGGCAAGAUUCUGGUUGGAAAAGUAAACGUUGGGGUAAUGAUAAGGGAUAAAUUAGCCCUUAGGGAAUUAAGAAAAGCAGAAUUAUUUCAUGUGUACUAAGCCCAUCGAACUCACCAUGAAUUGCUUUUUUUCUGUUUCCAAGAUGGUUUUCAGAAAGAGAAUAGAGAAUGAGUUUUGAAUUCAGCUUUACCCAAUAAUCCUUGAGUGGUAAAGUUGAUGGUUUGCAAUUUUUGUUUUAUUACCUCUGUUGACCUCUGUGUCUUUGAAAGUUGGUGCUGAGUUUGGUUAUCUCAUCUCUCUUCCCCCAGUGGUCUCCACACAGAAUGUUACAAGAUGUGCUUAAGACUUCUCCUUGAGCCUGUCUGGUAGAAUGAAAUAGUCUAUUUUUGCAAACAGCUUCCUCUUCUCUGCCUCUUUCCCCCCAAAACAGCCCAAUAUUGGCAAAUAUAAACUAGUUCUAGACUUUUCAUGUCAUAACCUUACCUACAGUGUUGCUCUGGCAAGCAUCCCUAAAUGAGAUGCCUAAUAUAUAUUAACUCCAACAGACACCAUAGCAAGAUCUUUUCUUAGCAUUAGUAAAUGGUGUGAUUUACAUCCAUCUUUGGGCCACAUUUCCAAGAGUUCAGGGAAGAUUGCGGCUGCAGGAGCAUUGAAUUGAUUUGGAGGCAGACAGACAAUGUUGGAGGCACAUCUGUGCCUUGAAUAAUGAUCUUAUUGAUGGAGAAGGAUGCAUGCCUAGUUCAGAUGAUGCCUUGGUGUCUCAGGCAAGUCCCGAGGUCACUCGACUCUCUGUGUUCCUCUGUGUGGGUGGAGGAUGCGUGUUAGAAAUUAAGUCAAUCCCUUUUUGAGUCUUCUUUUUUACAAGAUGUCUAUGCUUACAUAUGUAAAUUAAGACAACUUCAGUUUCAACCAAAGCAAUUUCCAUCACGGAGACACUUAAGAAAAGCAAAUGUUUGAUACACCAUGAAAACAUAUUUAAUACCCCAGAAUUCAGGUAGAAUUGAUUUUAUUAAAAGGUAUUAUACAUUUAAAAGCAGUUUUGCAUUUGAUUUUUCCCCUUAAUUAAUCUACAAAUAAGUAUCAGAAAAUGACCCAGUCAUAAGUUCAGAUUCUAAAAUAGCUAAAGAAAUGUAUCAGUGCAGCACGUAGCCAUGACUAUGUGAGAUAUUUUUGUGCUCUUUUACUCAAUGAUGACAUUUAACCUUUUAGAUUAAUGUCAUUGUUAUGUUAUUUUAAAGGGGAAACUUAAAGCACCAACUAUGCUAUUCCUAUCAUAUGAGACCUUUUUGGUUUUAAUCAGGAUCCUGAGUCCUAAUAUAUUAUUUAAAAGUUGUAAUUGAGUUUCCCAUGUUAAUUUGGGUUCCUUUUCCAUUGAGAAACUUCAAAUAUAAAUUUUCAUGUACUGUUUUGCUAUUUCAUUUAUUAGCAGAAUAAUUCAAAAUGUUAAAACAAAAAAAUAUGGAACAAACCAUGCACUUGUAGUUGAAAAUAACUCUGACCUAAUUCAUUAUUUCAGAAUAAAUAAUUUCUGGAUAACUCCAUUCAGCAAAAAUGCCUAAUUAUUUUAAUAAAAUAAGUUUUUAUACUUCUGAAUUUUAGUGGUAUGACUUGCAAAUGCAAAUGAUAAGUAGUUUAUAAUGAGGCCACUGUUUCAGCCAUGUUAUCCUGAGAUAUCCUGAGACAUCUUGAACCUCAGCAGCGUCUGAUAGAUGUAUAGUGCAAACUGAGAAUGCAAUUUAAAAUUUU